UUGGACACUUUAAAUCGCCACACACGCAUCGGCACCGCCUUCGGGGUGCCUUGGUCAACCCUCCACAUCAUACGGGUUGCCAGGGUCGAAGUCGGGGAUGCGUGGAGGUCCCAAC
rnacentral:sRNA from 1 species